UGGGGAAUAUUGCACAAUGGGGGAAACCCUGAUGCAGCAACGCCGCGUGAGUGAAGAAGGUCUUCGGAUUGUAAAGCUCUGUUGUAGGGGACGAUAAUGACGGUACCCUACAAGGAAGCCACGGCUAACUACGUGCCAGCAGCCGCGGUAAUACGUAGGUGGCGAGCGUUGUCCGGAAUUACUGGGCGUAAAGGAUGCGUAGGCGGAUUAAUAAGUCAGAUGUGAAAUUCCCGGGCUUAACUUGGGAGCUGCAUUUGAAACUGUUAGUCUGGAGUGCAGGAGAGGUAAGUGGAAUUCCUAGUGUAGCGGUGAAAUGCGUAGAGAUUAGGAAGAACACCAGUGGCGAAGGCGACUUACUGGACUGUAACUGACGCUGAGGCAUGAAAGCGUGGGGAGCAAACA
rnacentral:rRNA from 1 species